GACCUUCAUCUGGUGCCGCACCUCCCUGUCCCCGCUCCGCUUCACCGGCGUUGUGGGCGCCACCUCGUCUCCCUCUCUCAUGUCCGGACGACGACGAUGGCAGCCUCACCUUCCUUCUCCGCAACAAAUCCGGCUGCCCCGCCGCUCGAGCCACGCGCCCCUAGGGCCGCAGUCUCCGUCAUCCUUUUCCUCGCGGCGAUCUGAUCCGAUUGAAGCCGGUUCUUGCGUCGCCGCUGCAUGAGCUCAUCUGAAUGUCGUCGCCGCCCCUACUCCGCGCGGGACCCUCGGCUCCCUGACUUGGCCUCGCUCUUCAUCCGCCACAAUGACCUCGCUACAUGCCGCCAGGACGGUGGGCAGGGCUGUCGUAGACGAGCGCGCGCAGCACCUGGCAGAGGCCACGCCCGCAGAGAGCAUAUGCACGGAGGGAGGACCGGAAGUCCCGUGCAUGAACGGCACAACACCUGCUCACCUUGCAGUAGUAGCAUCAGGAGCAUCGACCAUUGUUUUCACGGCUGUAGUUCAUCCAACAUAAACCAAAGGUUAUUUCAGCUCUGACAAUGUUACUACAUCACUCUGCACACACGCAGGAGUAUGGCUGGUGACCGCAUGCUAUAAGUUCCUCUCCAUGGCUAAGUGAGGCAGUACAUGGCCAGACAGCUUGAGGUCGUGCGCUAUGUCAUGAAGUUUACUAUUACUAGGGUAUUGUGUUUCUUGCUGCUUGAAUCUUCCCAAGGUGAAUACUCAAAAUUCUUUGCUGAUAGCCUUACACUGGAGUAUAGUGAAAGAAUGAAACAAGUUUACAGUAAGGCUUGCAACUUAAUGUUAGUGAUGUUUAAUAUAUAUUUAUCGAAAGUAGCACAUCAAAAAAAAUUUGUUCUUUCCUGGAUGAUUAAAUUUAGAAUUUCUACAUUAAUUUACUUCUGAGCGUAUCAUCAGGCGAGGAGGACAACUGAAUCUGCUCUGUCAGUUGUGUCGAGCAAUGGAUGAAUCAACAGUGCACAUUAUGGCCAAGUGCUCAUAUGCAGAAGAAUUGUGGAAUCUGGUGAUGAUACAUAAUCAACUGGUGAUCCCGCAGCUGACUUAUGUGCACCAAAUCAAAAAAUGGUGGGCCGGAAUGACUGCCGCACAUAUUUGUACUUUUGUGCAUAAUCUUCUUUUUCUUUCGAUUACCCAAAUUGUAAAUAAUUUGCUUCCUACUACAAUGCAAGAGCAGAGCACCUGCUAUUUUCCUAAAAAAAAAUCUCAUUAAGAGGUUGGUACUGCCUGUUAUAUGUGAUUCUGAUAUUUGUCCUGUUUAUCCUUAAAUUUUGUUUUCUUGGAACAAUCUUUAGAUUGAUGUUAGAUAAAUUGCUCACCAUUAUCACCAAGAAAUCAUGCAUCUGCAUUUAAAAGGAAAUAUACAUGCCGAUGCAUGAUCCGUAUGUGUUAGUGUUCCUACAUCCUACAUCCUUAUAUGCUUUCCAAUAUCAUAGUAUCUUUAUGGUACGUAAGAAAAAAUGAUCUUCCUGUACUAAUGUCCCAUUAUGAGCAAAACUUUCCAGUUCUGCUAGAUAGUUAGUUGUACCAAAUAGAAUAAUUUAUUGGAUCCAGGUUUUCACCCUAGUAUACUCAUAUUUCUGCUUAUACAUUUGAUGCAUUAUACAUGUUUUUGCUUAUACUUUUCUGAUCUUUUAUUCAUUUAUAGUGGAAAUACCAUUGAAUUAUACUUCAUUACGCAAUGCAAGAGUUCUUAAAUGAAUUCCAUCAUACAAAGAACAUAUACUGAUACACCCAUAUUACCAAUAAUUAAUCACAAGUGAUCUACAAAAGUCCAGGCUCAACUGGCGCGGCAACGCCACGCCCCAGGUUUUCUAGUGGAACCCAUAGCUGACAACACUCUUCUUCUCUUCGUUUUUACAUCUCCUAAACGUGCUGUUCAUUUUUCCGCCUGGAUUUUUUUUAUUUCGCACAGGACAUUGGGUGGCCCAAAGCCUAUGCAUAUGGCCCGAUGCGCAUGCGCACAACAUUGGGCCAUGGUCCAUGACCAUAAGCACCGCACAGGAGUCAGCCCGCGUAAGCUAAGGCCUGCUCUGCUCUGCUGACCCUGUUUUGAUCCGUUCCUUCUUCAACAUUUGGCUGGGUGAUGUACCUGAACAUGUUGCUGUAAUGGUGUCCACUGACCUACCUGGACACAGUGCUUAUUGGAAAUAUUUUCUAUCUCAAAAAA